rnacentral:tRNA from 1 species
GGGGUUGUGACUCAGUGGUAGAGUACUCGCCUUGUACGUGCGAGGUCCUGGGUUCAAUCCUCAGCACCACA